rnacentral:rRNA from 1 species
AUAAGGUUAAGUGAAUAAGGGCGCACGGUGGAUGCCUUGGCACUAGGAGCCGAUGAAGGACGGGACUAACACCGAUAUGCUUUGGGGAGCUGUACGUAAGCUAUGAUCCAGAGAUUUCCGAAUGGGGAAACCCAACAUCUUUUAUAGGAUGUUACGUUUGCGUGAAUACAUAGCGCAUUCGAGGUAGACGCAGAGAACUGAAACAUCUAAGUACCUGCAGGAAGAGAAAGAAAAUUCGAUUCCCUGAGUAGCGGCGAGCGAAACGGGAAAAGCCCAAACCAAUGAGCUUGCUCAUUGGGGUUGUAGGACUCCAAUAUGGUAGUUCUUUCAGAUAAUCGAAUGACUUGGAAAAGUCAGUCAAAGAGGGUAAAAACCCCGUAGAUGAAAUUUGGAAGGCACCUAGGAGGAUCCUGAGUACGGCGGAACACGAGGAAUUCCGUCGGAAUCCGGGAGGACCAUCUCCCAAGGCUAAAUACUCCCUAGUGACCGAUAGUGAACCAGUACCGUGAGGGAAAGGUGAAAAGCACCCCGGAAGGGGAGUGAAAUAGAACCUGAAACCGUGUGCCUACAACAAGUCAAAGCCCGUUAAUGGGUGAUGGCGUGCCUUUUGUAGAAUGAACCGGCGAGUUACGAUUGCAUGCGAGGUUAAGUCGAAGAGACGGAGCCGCAGCGAAAGCGAGUCUGAAUAGGGCGUUUGAGUAUGUAGUCGUAGACCCGAAACCAUGUGAUCUACCCAUGUCCAGGUUGAAGGUGCGGUAAAACGCACUGGAGGACCGAACCCACGUACGUUGAAAAGUGCGGGGAUGAGGUGUGGGUAGCGGAGAAAUUCCAAACGAACUUGGAGAUAGCUGGUUCUCUCCGAAAUAGCUUUAGGGCUAGCCUCGGAUUUGAGAAUGAUGGAGGUAGAGCACUGUUUGGACUAGGGGCCCAUCUCGGGUUACCGAAUUCAGAUAAACUCCGAAUGCCAUUCAUUCAUAUCCGGGAGUCAGACUGUGAGUGAUAAGAUCCAUAGUCGAAAGGGAAACAGCCCAGACCACCAGCUAAGGUCCCAAAAUAUAUGUUAAGUGGAAAAGGAUGUGGGGUUGCACAGACAACUAGGAUGUUGGCUCAGAAGCAGCCACCAUUUAAAGAGUGCGUAAUAGCUCACUAGUCGAGUGACCCUGCGCCGAAAAUGUACCGGGGCUAAACAUAUUACCGAAGCUGUGGAGUACACCAUUAGGUGUAUUGGUAGGAGAGCGUUCUAAGGGCGUUGAAGGCAGAUCGUGAGGACUGCUGGAGCGCUUAGAAGUGAGAAUGCCGGUAUGAGUAGCGAAAGACAGGUGAGAAUCCUGUCCACCGAAUGACUAAGGUUUCCUGGGGAAGGCUCGUCCGCCAGGGUUAGUCGGGACCUAAGCCGAGGCCGACAGGCGUAGGCGAUGGACAACAGGUUGAUAUUCCUGUACUCGUUGUUUUUGUUUGAGCAAUGGAGGGACGCAGGAGGCUAAGGAAUGCAGACGAUUGGAAAUGUCUGUCCAAGCAGUAAGUCUUGAUAGGAGUCAAAUGCUUCUGUCUACACGGAUAAGCUGUGAUGGGGAGGGAAAUAAUAGUACCGAAGUUCCUGAUGUCACACUGCCAAGAAAAGCUUCUAGUGAGAAAACAAUGACCCGUACCGCAAACCGACACAGGUAGUCGAGGAGAGAAUCCUAAGGUGAGCGAGAGAACUCUCGUUAAGGAACUCGGCAAAAUGACCCCGUAACUUCGGGAGAAGGGGUGCUGAUCUUUGAUCAGCCGCAGUGAAUAGGCCCAAGCGACUGUUUAUCAAAAACACAGGUCUCUGCAAAAUCGUAAGAUGAAGUAUAGGGGCUGACGCCUGCCCGGUGCUGGAAGGUUAAGAGGAGUGCUUAGCGUAAGCGAAGGUACGAAUUGAAGCCCCAGUAAACGGCGGCCGUAACUAUAACGGUCCUAAGGUAGCGAAAUUCCUUGUCGGGUAAGUUCCGACCCGCACGAAAGGCGUAACGAUUUGGGCACUGUCUCAACGAGAGACUCGGUGAAAUUUUAGUACCUGUGAAGAUGCAGGUUACCCGCGACAGGACGGAAAGACCCCAUGGAGCUUUACUGUAGUUUGAUAUUGAGUGUCUGUACCGCAUGUACAGGAUAGGUAGGAGCCGUAGAAAUCGGAACGCUAGUUUCGAUGGAGGCGCUGGUGGGAUACUACCCCUGCGUUAUGGCCACUCUAACCCGCACCACUGAUCGUGGUGGGAGACAGUGUCAGAUGGGCAGUUUGACUGGGGCGGUCGCCUCCUAAAAGGUAACGGAGGCGCCCAAAGGUUCCCUCAGAAUGGUUGGAAAUCAUUCGAAGAGUGUAAAGGCAGAAGGGAGCUUGACUGCGAGACCAACAAGUCGAGCAGGGACGAAAGUCGGGCUUAGUGAUCCGGUGGUUCCGCAUGGAAGGGCCAUCGCUCAACGGAUAAAAGCUACCCUGGGGAUAACAGGCUUAUCUCCCCAAGAGUCCACAUCGACGGGGAGGUUUGGCACCUCGAUGUCGGCUCGUCGCAUCCUGGGGCUGUAGUCGGUCCCAAGGGUUGGGCUGUUCGCCCAUUAAAGCGGCACGCGAGCUGGGUUCAGAACGUCGUGAGACAGUUCGGUCCCUAUCCGUCGCGGGCGUUGGAAAUUUGAGAGGAGCUGUCCUUAGUACGAGAGGACCGGGAUGGACUUACCGCUGGUGUACCAGUUGUUCUGCCAAGGGCAUUGCUGGGUAGCUAUGUAGGGAAGGGAUAAACGCUGAAAGCAUCUAAGUGUGAAGCCCACCUCAAGAUGAGAUUUCCCAUUUCUUUAAGAAAGUAAGAUCCCUGAGAGAUGAUCAGGUAGAUAGGUCAGGAGUGGAAGGCCAGUGAUGGUUGGAGCGGACUGAUACUAAUCGAUCGAGGACUUAACCAAA